rnacentral:rRNA from 1 species
GAGACAGCAGUAGCCGCGGUAAAACGUAGGGUCCGAGCGUUGUCCGGAAUUACUGGGCGUAAAGAGCUCGUAGGUGGUUUGUCGCGUUGUUCGUGAAAACUCACAGCUUAACUGUGGGCGUGCGGGCGAUACGGGCAGACUAGAGUACUGCAGGGGAGACUGGAAUUCCUGGUGUAGCGGUGGAAUGCGCAGAUAUCAGGAGGAACACCGGUGGCGAAGGCGGGUCUCUGGGCAGUAACUGACGCUGAGGAGCGAAAGCGUGGGGAGCGAACAGGAUUAGAUACCCGCGUAGUCCCUGUCUCUUAUAC